UAUAUUAUAAAUAAUUCAUAAGUGAUGACAGGUCAUCAUUGCAGACCAACACCUCGAUCUCCCUAGAGACCAGAUGAGCAGCACAACGGAGACUAAGCGUGAGCACUCGACUCCUAACAGCCCCCGCACCAGGGAAUACGCGGUGACAGGAGCGGGACUCUUAGUAAAAGCUGUUGACAUCUUAGACUCUUAAAGGGGCUAGUCAGCCUGUCCCUUCAUCCUUCCUCAGGAAGCGACAGAAAGGACAAGGGUCAGAUUGAUACUACAGAAACUGCCCCACAGCCAUCAGCCAAUAGGAAGUCAGGUAGACAGAGCGGGAGCUAAUAAGAAGGCGCGAUGGGAUCAGAUAAGCCAAUGGAGUGGCGGCGAGAAGGAUAUACUAUCUAUCCUCCAUAUAUAAAGAACAAAAUAACAAGAGUGAUUGCACCGGUCUCCCUACCAGUGCUGUCAUUCUAACUGUGGACUAUCUUACAGGAUCGAGCCAAGGAGAAGAAGACUCGCAUAUCAACAAGUGUUAUCAGUGGUGCCAUGAGCUCGGCAAAACAACGGGAAAGGAAAAGAGCAUCCCUCCUCUGCCUGCAAGCCUGAAUUUUGAAAUGCUGAACCUUUAACAUUUCCAAUUCUAAGAAAUGGACAAGAUGGAGGAAGCCAACCUUCCAUACAAAUAUUUUCGCUGAUUGCCACUUUUUAACACAAAGGAAAGAGUAUACUAUAUCAAACCUGUAUAAGGAAAGGGAAGAACUGAAACUUUUUACAUGAUAAGAUUAGCAAGCCUUGAAGAAUUAGCUACUGUAUUAUUAAAAAUUAUGUUACUGCACUCCAUCCAAAUUGACCAUAGAGGUGAAAAAGAAGUUGCAAUUCAAAAUUUUCUUUGAAA